UUAAACAUUUUUCAACGCAUCCUAUCACAACCUUUGAUAGAAGAUAUCUCAAAAUUUCCAACCCUUGAAAUAAAGUCCAAAAUUAAAUUACAAAAGGGAAAGCUCAUUUUUGUUCACGCUCCACACUCAGAAAAUUCUCUCAAAAUCGGAGCUCAUCUCAGAAAAUUCUCUCAAAAUCGAUCUGAGCUCAUCUCAGGAAACUCAAAGAUCGGAGCUCAUCUCAUCUACGACGGGUUGAUUUGCGGUGGUCAGCUAUCUCAUCUCCGACGACAAGCGAGUCGUUGAUCGACUGAGCACUCUUCGCCACCCCAUUUUCCGAUUACAGAUUAUUUAUGGUAGAUAAUGAAGAUCAAUCUCAAAGAGAAAAUCCCAUUAGGAAGGUCAAGGAUUUAGCUGAGGAACAAAAUGAGCAUAACCUCUACGCAUUCACUCCCAAAAGAAAGUGAGGAAGAUAAUGCCUCUCAAAAUAUCAUAUAUGGAAAUAAAAAUGAUAUUUUUUGGGUUAUUCUUAUGUGAUACUAUUGCGGCUGGUAUUAAAGCUCGUGAUGGUUUUCUUAGCUGAUCCAAAUGAUAUCUUCUUGACAGAUGGAGCAAACCCAGCUGUCCAUAUGAUGAUGCAAUUACUGGUAAGAUCAGAAAAUGAUGGAAUUCUUUGUCCCAUUCCUCAGUACCCUUUACACUCUGCUUCAAUUGAUCUCCAUGGUGGCACACUGGUAUGCUUCUAAUUUGUAGCACUUUAUUCAGAAGCUCAAGAUUGGUUGUACUCAACUGCUAAGUGAAAAGACUUUAUUUUAUUUUAUUUUUUCAGCAUAGAUUUUACACUGACCUGACUUGGUAACUUGGAAGUUGGAAAAUGGAAAUUUGAUUUAUUCUUUUUUGAAUUUUCAUUCAAUCUUGAAGUAUGGCCAUUUUAGGUUCCUUACUAUCUCAAUGAAGCAACAGGAUGGGGAUUGUAAGUCUCUUCACUUAAGAAGCAAUUGGAGGUUGCCAAGUCCCAAGGCAUCAUAGUUAGGGCUUUAAAUGUUAUAAAUCCCAGAAACCCAACAGGCCAGGUGUGCUAUUAGUAGGUUUGAAGAAGUAGAGAUUUGACUAGCAAAGUACCUAAAGUUCACGUAAAAGAGAAUGCAUUGCUAUGUGUCUAUUUUUGUCCCUGUACAUUAUAUGAUUUUUCUGUUGUACCUGCAGGUUCUUGUGAGGAGAACCAGCGUGACAUUGUGGAAUUCUGCAGGAAAGGUCUUGUGCUACUGGCAAAUGAGGUUGGUAAAUUCUUAUUAGCAAAAGAUGUUGAAACAUCAUGCAACUCUAGUAACAAAUAGAGAUUUGAGUACUUGUAGGGAACUAAAUUUGGUUUUGUUUGCUCUUUAUUGACUCCCUUUGCUUGCUUGGUGCCCUACCAAAUAGAUCUGAUUUGAUUUGCUACGUUAAAGUUACAACUUAUGUCCAAUGAACUUUAUACAGGUAUAUCAGGAAAAUGUUAAUUGUGAAUAGAUCAUGUGUAAUGUACUUGAGCUGAUUUUUGUGGAAUUUGAAAUUUGGAUUAAGUGUCAGGUGUUAAUACCAUGUUCUAUUACUUGGAGAUCUAAACUGGAUAAUAAGGUGUUUACCUGUUUGUAAACUUGGUUCAAAGCCAUUAUGAUCUACUUAACAGCUGUGAAAUUAUUAUUUUCUAAUUGAAUCAUUUGUCUUUAAGAUCAACAAGACUAUUCUGGUGCUCAUACGUAUGAAAGGAUUGAUGUGGAGGGAUCUUUCCAUGCUGAAUGGUUCAAGCUUGCCAAACAGUGUAAUAUAAGUUUUGGAGGUAUUCCACUUGAAUGAAACUCAAAAUAAUCCUAAUAAAUUUCUGCCCAAGACUCUGCUGGGCAGAGCUGACACCACCUCUGCCUGUUGAAAUGUAUCUCAAUUAUUACAUACUCCGAUUAAACACCCCAGCUCUUGCGCAGUCUUAUUUCAGUGGUCUUUUGGCCAAGGAUGUUACGGUGGAAAACCUCCCCAACUUGGUUAAAUCAGGUCUUAAAUUUGAGGAGAUAGAAAAUGAUGUGAGUACUCGAGAUUAUAUAAAAAGGAUAUGGGACUUCACGGGAUCACUCUAUAACAUUGAAUCCAUGGAAUUCAGCAUAGAAACUGCAGAGGUCUUGUUAUUAUAUGUGGGCUGCAGUACAAUUCUUGUUUUGUCAGGCUCCAAAGGUACAAACACUUGUCUUUGAAUUGACAUUCCUAGGUAGCCAUGAUGGUUACCCACCUGAAAAUCGCUUGGAAGAUCACUUGGAGAAGUGGCUUUACGUUCCUGAAUGUUUGUCAUCACAUCUUACAGUCUGUUAUAAUAAGGAAUUUUCAGGGCAUGAAGUUGAGAUGAACUUGUUCGACAAGUCUUGAAGGAAGCAAAUAUAUUAAAGACAAUGAAAAUCACUUUUGAAAGUUGUCUAGACUCAGAGAUAAAGCUUUGUGCUCGCAAGAAAUUAAGAAAGCUUCAAAGGAGGUAUCCUACUUGUCAAUUUGAAUUUGACGAAGGACAAGUUGAUUUUUAAGUUCUCUUUCUUAAUUUGUGCGAAGCAAUAGCUUUAUGGGAAUGGCCAUUGGUCUUUGCAUCUUUCAUUUUAGUUUGGAAAUGUGUAUUUUGUCCAUUGGUUUGUUUAGUGCAGCUAUUUGCCCUAUGUUUGUGUGUUUUUGUUGAGGAGGUCAUUUAGACUUUUUAUAGCGGCUUUGGUUGUGUUUUGUGCAGCCACUAGGCUGAUUUGGGUGUUGUAUGGCUACUGGCCUUUUGUUCCUGCACAAAGUAGUUUGUUUUCUUGUGCGUGAUUUAAA